UCACACAACACAUAUACCAUAUCCUUACACAGUCUUAUGUACCUUAUACAAUUACAAUAAGUACAAUCUUCUACAAUCUACACUUCUCUUACCUCUUCUCACUCACUCAAGGUUCUUUUGGAGACCCACUUAGUCUUUCUUCCCACCCCGGGGCUUCUCAGUCGUAACAACAGACCACUAAAACAGAGCUUUGAAAUAACAGGCGUCUGCAAUGCCUUUUCCUAUACGGCCUGUCUGUUGCUUAGAGAGCGAAGUCCCACGGGAGAGAUUCCAGACAUAUAGAUCUUAGCCCAGUCCCAUCUGGGGUGCCAAAUGUUGGCCCAAAUUUAGCCUAUUACCCAAAAACAUUUAAAACUCAACUUAGAAGCCAAUACUCACAUCUACCUCUGAGCCCAGUUGGAGAUAGAAAAAAUACACCAGCCGUGAGUGAGAAGAAGCAAGGGUCCAGCUUUAUUGUUCCAUUGCACCACACGAGAUCCACACCGAUGAGAAUUCUCAAAAGUGAUCCCCAUAUCCUGAGCUUAAGCUCCAGUAUUUAUACUGUAUUUACACACUAGAUAACCCAUAGGUUUCCAGAAAAGGCCUAUUUCACUUACUCAUAGAAUUGAAACCAGGGUUUUUAAUUUACACAUAAAAUCAGAACCCAGGCAUUUCCAACAACCCAGGAAACAAAAACCCAGAGUUUCUAGUUACCUAGGUGGUCAGAAACCAGGAUUCUCAAUUCCCUAGGUAAAAAAAAUGACGUAGACAAGACGACUAAACAACCGGGAGGGACCUUGGUCUUAUCGUUAUCUCGGGGGGGGGGGGGGGGGGGGGGGGGGCAGUUUGACCCAGCCACCCUUAUAACUGGCUUUCUUCAUGGUUCUCUAAAAAUUAAGGCUUUCCUUGCGAGACGAGAAUCUUCACCACCUGAAUCAUGAGUGCCGGUGCCCGUCGUCAGUCCCCUCUCUCUCUGUUACUGGACCUGGAUCUGGACACUCAUUACCAGCUUGUGCAUCUCACUGCUGAUAUCAUGAUGCUACUUAACUAUCUUCGCAGCACCCCCCCUAAGAAUAGAGAUCCGGGGUUCCCCCCUCUUCUUCGGUACAGAAUCUGCCCCACGAACGUGCGUGUUGACGCCUCUACACAGUCAGACCCAGAACCCCUCUCUAGCUUCCAAUCCGAGGAUGAUGUUGUCUUCUCUGAUCCGGGCCCCGACCAUCCGUCCCUCUUCUCACCCACCAGUCUGCCCGACUCUCAGUGGUCCGUUCACUUCACCCACCCUGAUUUCCCCAUGUCCCCAG
ensembl:lncRNA